GGGAAGGUAGCUCAGUGGUAGAGUGCAUGCCUUGCAAGCAUGAGGCCCUGGGUUUGAUUCCUCAACACCA
rnacentral:tRNA from 1 species